UGGGAAUUUUGGACAAUGGGCGAAAGCCUGAUCCAGCAAUGCCGCGUGUGUGAAGAAGGCCUUCGGGUUGUAAAGCACUUUUGUCCGGAAAGAAAUCCUUGGCUCUAAUACAGUCGGGGGAUGACGGUACCGGAAGAAUAAGCACCGGCUAACUACGUGCCAGCAGCCGCGGUAAUACGUAGGGUGCAAGCGUUAAUCGGAAUUACUGGGCGUAAAGCGUGCGCAGGCGGUUUUGCUAAGACCGAUGUGAAAUCCCCGGGCUCAACCUGGGAACUGCAUUGGUACUGGCAGGCUAGAGUAUGGCAGAGGGGGGUAAAUUCCACGUGUAGCAGUGAAAUGCGUAGAGAUGUGGAGGAAUACCGAUGGCGAAGGCAGCCCCCUGGGCCAAUACU
rnacentral:rRNA from 1 species